AGAGCGAACGCUGGCGGCAUGCUUAACACAUGCAAGUCGCACGGUCAGCAAUGGCAGUGGCGGACGGGUGAGUAACGCGUAGGUAUCUAUCCACGGGUGGGGGACAACGUCGGGAAACUGACGCUAAUACCGCAUGAUACCCGAGGGUCAAAGGCGCAAGUCGCCUGUGGAGGAGCCUGCGUACGAUUAGCUUGUUGGUGGGGUAAAGGCCUACCAAGGCGACGAUCGUUAGCUGGUCUGAGAGGAUGAUCAGCCACAUUGGGACUGAGACACGGCCCAAACUCCUACGGGAGGCAGCAGUGGGGAAUAUUGGACAAUGGGCGAAAGCCUGAUCCAGCAAUGCCGCGUGUGUGAAGAAGGUCUUCGGAUUGUAAAGCACUUUCGGCGGGGACGAUGAUGACGGUACCCGCAGAAGAAGCCCGGCUAACUUCGUGCCAGCAGCCGC
rnacentral:rRNA from 1 species